rnacentral:rRNA from 1 species
GAUGAACGCUGGCGGCGUGCCUAAUACAUGCGAGUCGAGCGAACAGACGAGGAGCUUGCUCCUCUGACGUUAGCGGCGGACGGGUGAGUAACACGUGGAUAACCUACCUAUAAGACUGGGAUAACUUCGGGAAACCGGAGCUAAUACCGGAUAAUAUAUUGAACCGCAUGGUUCAAUAGUGAAAGACGGUUUUGCUGUCACUUAUAGAUGGAUCCGCGCCGCAUUAGCUAGUUGGUAAGGUAACGGCUUACCAAGGCAACGAUGCGUAGCCGACCUGAGAGGGUGAUCGGCCACACUGGAACUGAGACACGGUCCAGACUCCUACGGGAGGCAGCAGUAGGGAAUCUUCCGCAAUGGGCGAAAGCCUGACGGAGCAACGCCGCGUGAGUGAUGAAGGUCUUCGGAUCGUAAAACUCUGUUAUUAGAGAAGAACAAAUGUGUAAGUAACUAUGCACGUCUUGACGGUACCUAAUCAGAAAGCCACGGCUAACUACGUG